rfam:Camelus ferus unplaced genomic scaffold scaffold314, whole genome shotgun sequence.
GAGGGUAUAGCUCAGUGGUAGAGUGCAUGCCUAGCAUGCGAGAGGUCCUGGGUUCUAUCCCUAGUACCUCCA